GACGAACGCUGGCGGCGUGCUUAACACAUGCAAGUCGAACGGAAAGGCCCUGCUUUUGUGGGGUGCUCGAGUGGCGAACGGGUGAGUAACACGUGAGUAACCUGCCCUUGACUUUGGGAUAACUUCAGGAAACUGGGGCUAAUACCGGAUAGGAGCUCCUGCUGCAUGGUGGGGGUUGGAAAGUUUCGGCGGUUGGGGAUGGACUCGCGGCUUAUCAGCUUGUUGGUGGGGUAGUGGCUUACCAAGGCUUUGACGGGUAGCCGGCCUGAGAGUGUGACCGGCCACAUUGGGACUGGGGUACGGCCCAGACUGCUACGGGAGGCAGCAGUGGGGAAUAUUGCACAAUGGGCGGAAGCCUGAUGCAGCAACGCCGCGUGCGGGAUGACGGCCUUCGGGUUAUAAACCGCUUUCGCCUGUGACGAAGCGUGAGUGACGGUAAUGGGUAAAGAAGCACCGGCUAACUACGUG
rnacentral:rRNA from 1 species